ACUGAAUGUAAGCGGUGAGACCUGCUGAAAUCCAGACCUUUUCCACCCUUUGGAUGAAGGUCUUAAAUUUAUUUGGGCUAUUCUUUGCAAACCUCCUUUUCAGAAUGGGGAUUCCAUUUUGGCCUAGAGGUAAACCGUAAAAACAAAAGAGAAAGGAAGAGACAGAUUCUGUUGGUCUGAUACUGUCUUUAUUACGUCUUUUGAUUGUUUGGAAAACUGAAUUCCCUCUCUAUUAAAAGGACGCAUUGGAAACAUUGGCUAUUUUUACCAACGCUUUGACUGGAAUGGCAUCUUUUCAGAUAUGGCCAGAUUGCUUUGAGGGAUUGAAGUUGACUUUAUAGAGCCAGUAGAGUUUGAAAAGACUGGCCUCCUAACCUGUAUACAUGGUUCCCUUAUGAGGUUCUCAACCUUGCAGAAAACUAAAAGCAUGCCAUUUCAAAGACUAGAGAUGAUUCAACAGGUGACGGCAACUGAACUAUAUAAAUCAAUGCCUUGACUGAGAUCUCGUUUUUUUUUGGUUUUUUUUGUUUGUUUUUUGCCGCCCUAUGAUGCCAUUUCAAUUUGGCUUUUGGGUACUCUCAAAUUUUGUCACUGAGAUGCCUUCUUCUUUCCCCUCAACACGGGGCAGGACUAUUCAGGAAUGGGCCUUCCCAGCAAUGAGGGACACCUUGACACUCAGACUUUGAUCAUCAGUGCUUUCAAUAAGAAAGAUUUUUGAUCAAAAGUGGGAAAUAAGAAAGAAAAGAAACUUCAUUUGAGAAAUGCUAGCCCCCUUUAAUUGUCAGACCCAGAGAACCUUUGAAAUGUGACAGCAUAUGACAGAAGUCAUGCCUUGCCCCCUCCUCCUGAGCUAAAUAAUUAUCUCUUGAAGCCACUAGCUAUGUGGGUUUUAGACUGACACCAAGUAGUCAUAAAAUGUUACAUGCUGGUCACCAUAUAGUUCAACAAUAUAUAUCCACUCACUAACGUUACUUCUGUAGCCCAACAAGAAUUCCUGUCAAACACCUUGUAUGAGCCCAUUCCUUGUCCCCUUUUGCCUUUAAAAAUCUACUUUUAAUGAAGAUGAAACAGAGUACUCCCCAAGACAAUGUGGAAGUAUGUCCUAGGCCAGUGUCCUCAAUCUUGAUCCAAAU
rnacentral:lncRNA from 10 species